CCUAAUACAUGCAAGUCGAGCGAACUGAUUAGAAGCUUGCUUCUAUGACGUUAGCGGCGGACGGGUGAGUAACACGUGGGCAACCUGCCUGUAAGACUGGGAUAACUUCGGGAAACCGAAGCUAAUACCGGAUAGGAUCUUCUCCUUCAUGGGAGAUGAUUGAAAGAUGGUUUCGGCUAUCACUUACAGAUGGGCCCGCGGUGCAUUAGCUAGUUGGUGAGGUAACGGCUCACCAAGGCAACGAUGCAUAGCCGACCUGAGAGGGUGAUCGGCCACACUGGGACUGAGACACGGCCCAGACUCCUACGGGAGGCAGCAGUAGGGAAUCUUCCGCAAUGGACGAAAGUCUGACGGAGCAACGCCGCGUGAGUGAUGAAGGCUUUCGGGUCGUAAAACUCUGUUGUUAGGGAAGAACAAGUACAAGAGUAACUGCUUGUACCUUGACGGUACCUAACCAGAAAGCCACGGCUAACUACGUGCCAGCAGCCGCGGUAAUACGUAGGUGGCAAGCGUUAUCCGGAAUUAUUGGGCGUAAAGCGCGCGCAGGCGGUUUCUUAAGUCUGAUGUGAAAGCCCACGGCUCAACCGUGGAGGGUCAUUGGAAACUGGGGAACUUGAGUGCAGAAGAGAAAAGCGGAAUUCCACGUGUAGCGGUGAAAUGCGUAGAGAUGUGGAGGAACACCAGUGGCGAAGGCGGCUUUUUGGUCUGUAACUGACGCUGAGGCGCGAAAGCGUGGGGAGCAAACAGGAUUAGAUACCCUGGUAGUCCACGCCGUAAACGAUGAGUGCUAAGUGUUAGAGGGUUUCCGCCCUUUAGUGCUGCAGCUAACGCAUUAAGCACUCCGCCUGGGGAGUACGGUCGCAAGACUGAAACUCAAAGGAAUUGACGGGGGCCCGCACAAGCGGUGAGCAUGUGGUUUAAUC
rnacentral:rRNA from 2 species